CUGGACCAGUGGGCCGCUCUU
rnacentral:misc_RNA from 1 species